AAAAGGGCGUAUGGGGGAUGCCUAGGCUCUCAGAGGCGAUGAAGGACGUGAUAAGCUGCGAAAAGCUGCGGGGAGGUGCACACAACUUGUGAUCCGCGGAUAUCCGAAUGGGGCAACCUGUCUGGUUGAAGGCCAGUCGUGAUCGUAAGAUCAAGCAAACCCGGUGAACUGAAACAUCUAAGUAGCCGGAGGAGGAGAAAACAAAAGUGAUUCCGUUAGUAGUGGCGAGCGAACGCGGAUUAGCCCAAACCAGUAUUGUUUCGGCAAUGCUGGGGUUGUAGGACCACGAUAUUUGAUGCGCGAUGAAUUAGAACUAUUUGGAAAGAUAGGCCGAAGACGGUGAUAGCCCGGUAUAAGUAAAGGACGUUAUUGAUAGUGGUAUCCUGAGUAGUGCGGGGCACGUGAAACCUUGUAUGAAUUUGCCGGGACCAUCCGGUAAGGCUAAAUACUCCUGAGAGACCGAUAGUGAACCAGUACCGUGAGGGAAAGGUGAAAAGAACCGUGAAUAACGGAGUGAAAAAGAUCCUGAAACCAUACGCUUACAAGCGGUCGGAGCCCUUUGGGGUGACGGCGUGCCUUUUGCAUAAUGAGCCUACGAGUUACUUUUACUAGCAAGGUUAAGAUUUUAAGAAUCGGAGCCGUAGCGAAAGCGAGUCUGAAUAGGGCGCUAUAGUUAGUAGUAGUAGACGCGAAACCGUGUGAUCUACCCAUGGGCAGGUUGAAGCUUUGUUAACCCAAAGUGGAGGACCGAACCCGUUGACGUUGAAAAGUCUUGGGAUGACCUGUGGGUAGGGGUGAAAGGCCAAUCAAACUCGGAAAUAGCUCGUACUCCUCGAAAUGCAUUUAGGUGCAGCGUUGCAAUAGUUUUAUAGAGGUAGAGCUACUGAUUGGAUGCGGGGGCUUCACCGCCUACCAAUUCCUGACAAACUCCGAAUGCUAUAAAAUGUUUUGCAGCAGUGAGGGCAUGGGUGCUAAGGUCCAUGUCCGAGAGGGAAAGAACCCGGACCAUCAGCUAAGGUCCCCAAGUGUAUACUAAGUUGAUAUAACGCGGUGGAAUUGCAUUGACAGCCAGGAUGUUGGCUUGGAAGCAGCCAUUCAUUUAAAGAGUGCGUAACAGCUCACUGGUCGAGCGAUUCCGCAUGGAUAAUAAUCGGGCAUAAGUAUACCACCGAAGCUAUGGCUUCUGUACUCGGUACAGAGGGGUAGGGGAGCAUUCUAUGUGUGUUGAAGGUGAUCUGUAAGGGUUGCUGGAACGCAUAGAAACGAAAAUGUAGGCAUAAGUAACGAUAAUGCGGGCGAGAAACCCGCACGCCGAAAGACCAAGGUUUCCCCAGCUAUGCUAAUCAGCUGGGGGUCAGUCGGGACCUAACGCGAACCCGAAAGGGGUAGUGGAUGGACAAGCAGUUAAUAUUCUGCUACCUGCUCACGCUAAAAGUGACGGGGAUGUGGUGUUGGUGCGNGAUAAUCCAGCGUAACAUCCUCCGAGAAAAACAAGUGAAGCAGCCCGUACCGUAAACCGACACAGGUGGUUGGGAUGAGUAUUCUAAGGCGCUCGAGAGAUUCAUGGCUAAGGAACUAGGCAAAAUAGACCCGUAACUUCGGGAGAAGGGUCGCCCUCCUUUUAGGAGGGCCGCAGUGAAGAGGUCCAGGCGACUGUUUAUCAAAAACACAGGGCUCUGCAAAAUCGAAAGAUGAAGUAUAGGGCCUGACACCUGCCCGGUGCUGGAAGGUUAAGAGGAGAUGUUAGUUUCGGCGAAGCAUUGAAUUGAAGCCCCAGUAAACGGCGGCCGUAACUAUAACGGUCCUAAGGUAGCGAAAUUCCUUGUCGGGUAAGUUCCGACCUGCACGAAUGGUGCAACGAUCUGGACACUGUCUCGGCCAUGAGCUCGGUGAAAUUGUAGUAUCGGUGAAGAUGCCGGUUACCCGCAGUGGGACGAAAAGACCCCGUGCACCUUUACUAUAGCUUCGUAUUGGUUCUGGGUAAGUAAUGUGUAGGAUAGCUGGGAGACUUUGAAGCGGCGUCGCCAGGCGUUGUGGAGUCAUUGUUGAAAUACCAGCCUUUGCUUAUCUAGGGCCUAACCCUAACACUAGGGAACAGUGCGUGGUGGGUAGUUUGACUGGGGUGGUCGCCUCCAAAAGAGUAACGGAGGCUUCUAAAGGUACCCUCAGUACGGUUGGUAAUCGUACGUAGAGUGCAAUGGCACAAGGGUGCUUGACUGAGAGGCAUACAGGCCGAACAGGUUGGAAACAAGAGCAUAGUGAUCCGGUGGUUCCGUAUGGAAGGGCCAUCGCUCAAAGGAUAAAAGGUACGCCGGGGAUAACAGGCUGAUCUCCCCCAAGAGCUCAUAUCGACGGGGGGGUUUGGCACCUCGAUGUCGGCUCGUCACAUCCUGGGGCUGGGGAAGGUCCCAAGGGUUGGGCUGUUCGCCCAUUAAAGUGGCACGCGAGCUGGGUUCAGAACGUCGUGAGACAGUUCGGUCUCUAUCUACUGCGGGCGUUAGAAAUUUGCGUGGAUCUGACUCUAGUACGAGAGGACCGAGUUGGACUGACCUCUGGUGCACCAGUUGUUCCGCCAGGAGCAUUGCUGGGUAGCUAUGUCGGGAUUGGAUAAGCGCUGAAAGCAUAUAAGCGCGAAACCAGCCACAAGAUGAGAUUUCUUUAAAGGGCCGUAGGAGAUGACUACGUUGAUAGGUCAUAGGUAGAAGGGCAGUAAUGUCUGUAGCCAAGUGAUACUAAUAGCCCAUAGGCUUGCAC
rnacentral:rRNA from 1 species